rnacentral:rRNA from 1 species
UACGGGGGGUGCAAGCGUUGUUCGGAAUUAUUGGGCGUAAAGAGCUCGUAGGCGGUCUGUCGCGUCCGUUGUGAAAACUCGAGGCUCAACCUCGGGCUUGCAGUGGAUACGGGCAGACUAGAGUGCGGUAGGGGAGACUGGAAUUCCUGGUGUAGCGGUGAAAUGCGCAGAUAUCAGGAGGAACACCGGUGGCGAAGGCGGGUCUCUGGGCCGAUACUGACGCUGAGGAGCGAAAGCGUGGGGAGCGAACAGG